UACGUAGGGGGCAAGCGUUAUCCGGAUUUGCUGGGUGUAAAGGGAGCGUAGACGGCAGGGCAAGUCUGGAGUGAAAGGCAGGGGCCCAACCCCUGGACUGCUCUGGAAACUGUCCGGCUGGAGUGCAGGAGAGGUAAGUGGAAUUCCUAGUGUAGCGGUGAAAUGCGUAGAUAUUAGGAGGAACACCAGUGGCGAAGGCGGCUUACUGGACUGUAACUGACGUUGAGGCUCGAAAGCGUGGGGAGCAAACAGG
rnacentral:rRNA from 1 species